rnacentral:lncRNA from 1 species
CUUCCUUCCUCACACCGCUUGUCAGGGUGUCGCAGACCCAACGCUAGAAGCUAGGAUGAUUCUGUGAGAAUUAUUAAGUUCGAGUGGCAGAGUCUGUCCGCACAAAGGUGCACACACCAGGAAGCAGCCGCUUACUACAGGCCUCGGCCACAGACGACUCUGCCUUCCUGUGAGUGCUCAUGGGCUACACUUGGGGCACACUGCCCACCACUCAGAACUUAGGAAAGGGGAUGAGUCUGAACACCAGCCAGCAAGUGAAUAAACCAGUGCGCUGUAACACUGUGUGUCUUUCUGUCUGUCUCUCUGUCUGUCUGUAUUCCUGUGUCCGUCUCUGUAUAUCUGUGCUUCUAUGUAUAUGUUUAUGUCUGUGUGUCUGUGUGUGUGUCUGUCUGUGUGUGUGUGUUUGUGUGUGUGUGUUUGUGUGUGUGUGUGUGUGCAUGCGAGGGCACAAGUAUGCAUGUACAUAUGUCUGUGUUCGUGUACAUGUGUGGGUGGGGGUGUAUACGUGAGCAUCUGUGUCUCUUGUGUGUAUGUGUGUGUGAGUGUCUGGGUAUGUGUGUCUGUCUCUGUGUCUGUGGGUGGCUGUGUGUUUCUGUGUCUGUCUCUGUGUGUCUGUGUUUGCAUGUGUCUGUGGGUGUGUGUCUGUGUGGGUGCAGGUGCAGGGUGCAGGUGCAGGGUGAAGGUGCAGGGUGCAGGUGCAGGUACAGGUGCAGGGUGCAGGUGUGGGUGCAGGUGCUGGGUGCAGGUGCUGGGUGCAGGUGCAGGGUGCAGGUGCAGGUACAGGUGCAGGGUGCAGGUGUGGGUGCAGGUGCAGGGUGGAGGUGCAGGGUGCAGGUGCAGGGUGAAGGUGCAGGUACAGGUGCAGGGUGCAGGUGUGGGUGCAGGUGCAGGGUGGAGGUGCAGGGUGCAGGUGCAGGUGCAGCCACCUGUUCAACCUCAGCUAGGGGUAAGGUGUGAAAUCCCACCUCUGUGACUACACUACACAGCUAGCUUUGUCCUCUGCCCCUCCCUUGUUCUGUAUCUCACACCCUUGGAACAUCUCCUACCUAAGGAAACAACACACAGAGCCAUGUGCACCCAAAGGACCUACAAAAAGCUCUGUGUGGCUCUGCUCACCCACUGACACAUGCCCACCCCUCUCCUCCUACUGCCUCAAUGCUCACUCUGACUCCAG